rnacentral:rRNA from 1 species
GACGUAGGGCGCGAGCGUUGUCCGGAUUUAUUGGGCGUAAAGAGCGUGUAGGCGGCCGUACAGGUCAGCUGUGAAAACUCGAGGCUCAACCUCGAGACGUCGGUUGAAACCGUACGGCUAGAGUCCGGAAGAGGAGAGUGGAAUUCCCGGUGUAGCGGUGAAAUGCGCAGAUAUCAGGAGGAAUACCGGCGGCGAAGGCGGCCCUCUGGAUCGUUGCUGACGCUGAGACGCGAAAGCGUGGGGAGCAAACAGG